AGUGAACGCUGGCGGCAGGCCUAACACAUGCAAGUCGAGCGGCAGCGCGGGGGCAACCCUGGCGGCGAGCGGCGGACGGGUGAGGAAUUCGUCGGAAUCUGCCCUUUUGUGGGGGAUAACGUAGGGAAACUUACGCUAAUACCGCAUACGUCCUACGGGGGAAAGUGGGGGACCGCAAGGCCUCACGCAGAAAGAUGAGCCGACGACCGAUUAGCUAGUUGGUGGGGUAAAGGCCCACCAAGGCGACGAUCGGUAGCUGGUCUGAGAGGAUGAUCAGCCACACUGGGACUGAGACACGGCCCAGACUCCUACGGGAGGCAGCAGUGGGGAAUAUUGGACAAUGGGCGCAAGCCUGAUCCAGCCAUGCCGCGUGUGUGAAGAAGGCCUUCGGGUUGUAAAGCACUUUUGUCCGGAAAGAAAUCCCUGGAGCUAAUACCUUCGGGGGAUGACGGUACCGGAAGAAUAAGCACCGGCUAACUUCGUG
rnacentral:rRNA from 1 species